UACGGAGGGUGCAAGCGUUAAUCGGCAUUACUGGGCGUAAAGCGCGCGUAGGCGGCUUGUUAAGCAAGCUGUGAAAGCCCCGGGCUCAACCUGGGAACUGCAUUUAGAACUGGCAAGCUAGAGUAUGGCAGAUGAGUGUGGAAUUUCCGGUGUAGCGGUGAAAUGCGUAGCGAUCGGAAGGAACACCAGUGGCGAAGGCGACACUCUGGGCCAAUACUGACGCUGAGGUGCGAAAGCGUGGGGAGCAAACAGG
rnacentral:misc_RNA from 1 species